rnacentral:rRNA from 1 species
AGAGUGAACGCUGGCGGUAGGCCUAACACAUGCAAGUCGAACGGCAGCACGGUAAGAGCUUGCUCUUAUGGGUGGCGAGUGGCGGAUGGGUGAGGAAUACAUCGGAAUCUACCUUUUGGUGGGGGAUAACGUAGGGAAACUUACGCUAAUACCGCAUACGCCCUUCGGGGGAAAGCCGGGGACCAGCAAUGGCCUGGCGCUGAUAGAUGAGCCGAUGUCGGAUUAGCUAGUUGGUGAGGUAAUGGCUCACCAAGGCGACGAUCCGUAGCUGGUCUGAGAGGAUGAUCAGCCACACUGGAACUGAGACACGGUCCAGACUCCUACGGGAGGCAGGCGAGUAGGGGGAAUAGUUGGACAAGUGGGCG